AUGGCUCAGCGUGAGAUCCAACUGAUAGUUGCCGAGGGUGAGCAGGCGCCUAAUGCAGGAGCCGGCUCCAACGCUCGUGGUGCUGGUGGUGGCGCACGUAACGCGGCGCCGGUGGGGUCGGCUGCGGUGGCCGAUAACGUACUCGAGCCGGUAUUGGUACAGGCUUCAAAAAAAGAUACCGUACUCGAGCAAGCUAAAGAUGACGAGGAGUUUCUGAACAAGAUGCGCGGGUGGCUGAUGGCGGUGGCCACGCUCUUCGUCGGCUUCGCGUUCCAGGCGGCGAUGCACCCGCCUGACUGGAUGCCCAAGGACUACUGUUUUGGAGACUGGUGGCGGGUGGGCACACGUCAACCCUUCAGAUUGCGCUAUGAGAGUUUUGCGGCACCUAUGUUCAUACUGUUGAACACCAUGACUUUCGCGACAGGAUUGGUUCUGUUGAAAAGGCUGCUGGCGAUUGAAAAGACCCCGGCUACAAGUGACAUGAAUCAAAUAAGAUUCAUGGUGGCCAGUCUCUCCGGGUGUGGGCUAGUUACGUACGUGUCCGGUAUCUCCAAUGAUCCAUUCGCUGCUUCAAUGGUUCUUGCUUCUCUCCUGGCGUACAUCGUAGCGGCUCGCGUGGUGCUGAGAGCUGGCCCCCCACCGAAUAUAGCAUGA
rnacentral:rRNA from 1 species